rnacentral:rRNA from 1 species
GUGGGGAAUAUUGGACAAUGGGCGCAAGCCUGAUCCAGCCAUACCGCGUGGGUGAAGAAGGCCUUCGGGUUGUAAAGCCCUUUUGUUGGGAAAGAAAUCCUGUCGGUUAAUACCUGGCGGGGAUGACGGUACCCAAAGAAUAAGCACCGGCUAACUUCGUGCCAGCAGCCGCGGUAAUACGAAGGGUGCAAGCGUUACUCGGAAUUACUGGGCGUAAAGCGUGCGUAGGUGGUGGUUUAAGUCCGUUGUGAAAGCCCUGGGCUCAACCUGGGAAUUGCAGUGGAUACUGGAUCACUAGAGUGUGGUAGAGGGAUGCGGAAUUUCUGGUGUAGCAGUGAAAUGCGUAGAGAUCAGAAGGAACAUCCGUGGCGAAGGCGGCAUCCUGGGCCUGCACUGACGCUCAUGCACGAAAGCGUGGGGAGCAAACAGGAUUAGAUACCCUUGUAGUCC